rnacentral:misc_RNA from 1 species
UGCCCAUCUCUCGCUGCUCGAUCUUUGCGAGUGGCUACGCUGGGAAUGGGAGGGCGUGUAGUAAGCCGGCAUUGCACAAGGCGCACUGGAACGCUCUGCACAUAUACAUACAUAUAUGUAUACGUGUAUAUAUGUACAUGUAUACAUAUAAUGGUUCGGCAGGGUAGUUCUCUGCUUUUUUCUUCGGUGCUCGUUUAGUACGCGCUUCGCUCUCAUUUGCCCUCUGUCUGUGUGUGUGUGUGUGCUCAAGGAUGGGAGGGGGCACUGGAAGGAGAUGGCUGUGGCGGGAAUGACUUGUCAGGGAGGAAGGCGAUCUUGAAGGUAGGAGUGUAUGGAUGGCACGAAUUUGUAAGGCGCGGGAAUCCCUAUCGGGCUGUCUAGCGCCUCCCCGUCCUCCUCUUCCCUUUUUGUUCUCUUUCUUUUCUCCCUGUAACUCGGUGACGAUGACGCGGUUCACGUUUGGCGCACAUGCAUACACGAACACGCGCGCGAAAGAAGAUUGCGGUGGCCAUACAUCAAGCGUCGCGGACUAGGACGCUGAUGCGGAAGCUCGCUUUCUGACUUUGUCCUGGAACUCCUCGACGACUUUCUCUCGCUUCUUCCUCUCCGCUGCCGUUUCUUCCGUCUGUAUGUACGUGUGUGUGUGUGGGUGGGUGCACUCACACGCAUGACUCUCUUCAG